GGCGGCCAUAGCGAGAGGGAAACGCCCGGUCCCAUUCCGAACCCGGAAGCUAAGCCUCUCAGCGCCGAUGGUACUGCAGGGGGGACCCUGUGGGAGAGUAGGACACCGC
rnacentral:rRNA from 1 species